rnacentral:rRNA from 1 species
CGGUGAAUACGUUCCCGGGUCUUGUACACACCGCCCGUCACACCAUGGGAGUCGGAAUGCCCGAAGUCUGUGACCCAACCGUAAGGAGGGAGCAGCCGAAGGCAGGUCGGAUGACUGGGGUGAAGUCGUAACAAGGUAUC